rnacentral:sRNA from 1 species
GCUGGGCGUGGUGGUGCACACCCGGAGUCACAGCUACUGGGGAGGCUGAGGCAGGAGGACCAGUUGAGCCCAGGAGUUGGAACCAACCUGGGCAACAUAACAAGACCUGUCUCAA